GUAAUUAAAAACUAUUUUAUUUUAUCACUUAUGAUAAAUGUAUUACACAAAUAUUGUACAGACAAAAGUUGAUUUUUAAUGUCCUUUAAUCUAACGGGGAGGGUGAACAGGAGUACCUGGAUUAUAAGGUGCAUUAGAAAUAGAGGGAGGGCCAGGGCCCUCGAAAUGCGGAUCAUCAGGGAGAUGAGAUUUCGGUGGAGGGGAAAACGGUCCUUCGCCUAUACCUUGUACUGACACCGGCAUAAAAGAAUAAAUAAUAACAUACGAAACGAUAAAUUUUAACAGCAUAUUUGCAAUAAAUCCGAAAUAGAUACGCGAAUAAUACGAUAUUCUUAGGAGACACAAAUUUAAUUUUAUGCUUUGAUUUUAAUAUAUUUCACUUAAACGUUACGGUCUUAACAAUAUAUAUUUAGUAAUAGGUAUGAUUCCAGUUGCCAGUAAUAAUUGCUACACGUUACGUUAUAGUAGUAGUCGACGGAUUAUCCAAAUGUUCUUGCUUGAGGUUUAGAUCGCCAAGUUUGUAAAUUACCUAUUCAACAAAAGUUGAUUUGAAUCAGACAAAAUCAGUUAUAUUACA